AGCGUCAACCACGUAAAAGAAAAAACGCGCCAACUGUUGUUCCAAAAAGCAUCGGAUUGGAAUUGGAUUAGAAAUCCCCUGCGGGAUCCAGCUGUGCCUGCCCUAACUUUCGAUCCCAACUUUCCCCAAUCUUCACUGCCCUAGUUUUCGAUCCCAGCUUUCCCCGAUCUCGACUCUCGGUCUCGAGUUUGCGCACACUCCGGCGAACAUGGCAGCGAUCAUGGCGGGGCGCGGGCAGGGGCUGGAGCAAGAUUUCGAUUUCUUCGUGGUGGUCGACUUCGAGCCGACGUGCGUCAAAGACGCGCGGAUCUUCCCCCAGGAAAUCAUUGAGUUCCCCGCCGUGCUCGUCGACGGCGCCACCGGCCGCAUCGAGUCCGCGUUUCGCAGGUACGUUCGUCCAAAGCAUCACCCUGUGCUGACCCAGUUUUGCAGGGAACUCACCGGUAUCCGGCAGGAGGACGUCGACGGCGGUGUGGAUCUCGGCGAGGCGCUCUGGCUGCACGACGCUUGGCUGAAGGCGGCGACGGCGGGGGCAGGGAACAAGAGACGCGUCCGCUUGGCCGUUGUGACCUGGGGUGACUGGGAUUGCCGGAGCAUGCUAGAGUUUGAGUGCCGCUUCAAGGGCAUCGAGAAGCCCUCCUACUUCGAUCAGUGGAUCAAUUUGAGAGUCCCCUUCCAGGAGGCGCUCGUCGGCGGAGGGAGGGUUAACCUGCAGGAGGCGGUCCGGGCGGCGGGGUUGGACUGGGAGGGCCGCCUGCACUGUGGACUCGACGAUGCGUGCCACACGGCGCGGCUGCUUGCUGAGAUCAUGCGGCGCGGGGUCAAGAUGACCAUCACCGGCUCGCUGGCGCCGCCGCCGCCGGUCCAGCAAUAGCAGCAGCUGCCGCAGCUUCUCACAAGCCGUUGCGGUGGCUCAUCUGCGCUGGCGCCUCCGCCGCCGACGAACCACCACCACCAGCAGCAGCCACAGCUUCACAUGAUAAGCCCCUGUGGUGGCACAUUUGCGCUGGCGCCGGCGCCGAUUCAGCAGAAGCAGCAGCCGCCGCGGCCUCACAUAAUAAGCCCCAGCGGUGGCUCCUCUGCGACGUACUGCAGGGUGGCGACCAGAGGAGGCAUAGUGCCAGGGCCGACGCAGUCUGGAUGCGGCAACUGGACGGCGGCCAUGGGAGCCGUGUGCCCCUACUUCCUGUGGACCAACUGAACCAACGAACCAGGGCAUGAGACUCAGAUUCACAAUCCUGUGUAACUCAGCUGUUAGUGUUAAUCGUGCGAGCCAUCAGAAUCAGAGUGUAGCUCGGCUGAUUCUAGCCUAGUCUAGGUGUGAAUUUGGUCUUUAGGGCUAUAUGUGUCCGAAUUAUUAUAUUAUCAAUAGAAAUUUCAUUUUAGUUA